rnacentral:rRNA from 1 species
AAUGAACGUUGGCGGCAUGGAUUAGGCAUGCAAGUCGAGCGAGAAGUGUAGCAAUACACGGAAAGCGGCGGAAGGGAGAGUAAUACGUGGGAAUCUGCCCUUAGACCUGGGAUAGCAGCGGGAAACUGCUGGUAAUACCAGAUAAUGUCUAUGGACCAAAGGUGUGAUUCCGUCUAGGGAUGAGCCCACGUCCUAUUAGCUAGUUGGUAGGGUAAUGGCCUACCAAGGCGAUGAUGGGUAGCGGGUGUGAGAGCAUGACCCGCCUCACUGGAACUGAGACACUGCCCAGACACCUACGGGUGGCUGCAGUCGAGAAUCUUCGGCAAUGGGCGCAAGCCUGACCGAGCGAUGCCGCGUGCGGGAUGAAGGCCUUCGGGUUGUAAACCGCUGUCGAGGGGGAGCAACUUCCAUGGAGUUAUCUUUAUGGAUUGAGUGAUCCCUGGAGGAAGGACGGGCUAAGUUCGUGCCAGCAGCCGCAGUAAGAC